rnacentral:rRNA from 1 species
UGAGGAAUAUUGGGCAAUGCCCGCAAGGGUGACCCAGCAACGCCGCGUGGAGGAUGAAUGUCGUAAGAUUGUAAACUCCUGUUAGAGGGGAAGAAUAGUACCGGUUGGACCGGUAUAUGACUGUACCCUCAGAGAAAGCCCCGGCUAACUACGUGCCAGCAGCCGCGGUAAUACGUAGGGGGCAAGCGUUGUCCGGAUUUACUGGGCGUAAAGCGUCCGUAGGUGGAUAUUCGUGUCAGUUGUUAAAGGAUGCGGCUUAACCGCAUAAAGGCGAUUGAAACUGGAUGUCUAGAGUGCGAUAGGGGCAAGGGGAAUUCCCAGUGUAGCGGUGAAAUGCGUAGAUAUUGGGAAGAACACCGGUGGCGAAAGCGCCUUGCUGGGUCUGCACUGACACUGAGGGACGAAAGCUAGGGGAGCGAAAG